rnacentral:lncRNA from 1 species
AAAGAUAAUGAUAGUAAAUCACUGCCAUAUAACCUUGUUUUUCUAGAAGCAUGGCUCAUUUGUAUUGACCUAACAACUAAAUAGGUUGCCUAUCCCAUUCCUCUUGUAAACAUUGUAGGUUUACAGUUUAGGUGACCUGGCUUAAGGAGAACCAUACUCAAAAUAUCCAGAUAAACUGAACACGUAUUAGUUGUGUUGCAUUUCAAAGUCAAAAAUCCGCUUUCAUGAGGAAGGGUGUGGUGUAAAGAACGGGUAUUUGUGAUAGAACAUUUGACGGCAGAAUAAAAUGUCCUGUCUUCCAGAUGAUAAAUAGCUUAUUUUAAAAGCUUAAUUGCAGUUGUCUUCUUGACCAUGCCCACCUAAAGAAGGGAAAUUUUGCAUUUUUCCCAUGGUGCUCCUUAAGUAUCUGUGAAGGUUAAAGAAUAUAUGGUGAAGUAUUUCUAUUCUUGAUUUGGUAUUAACUAGUUAAUAGUUACUAGCGAUUAUACAAAAUCAGAUUAGUUUUGAACCUUUUUGAGAGCCUUUUGGAAGAAACAGUGGUAUUCUGAGUAAGGCAGAAUCCUUUUUGUUGAUAGUUUCUAAAGGUUGUUCUCACCAUCACUGAGUCAUUUUACUGGCUUUAUGUUUAAUGACAGCAGAUUGGGAAAAUGGAGUGUUUAAGUUACUGGGGUAGAUGAGUAUAUGAAAGUAAUUACCUGUAAAGUCAGUUAACAACUCCUGUGGAUGGGCUUGGCUAAGACUUGCAGAUGGAAGAAAUGCUUUUUUUCCUUCCUAAAGGCAGGACCCCUCUUGUUGCAGAUAGCUAUCUGUAAAAUAAUUGCCUGAACCCUCCUUUGCAAUAUGAUAGAAAAUGGGAUAUGAGAACCUUGUGUGCAACCUUUCCAUUUUUUCCUUUGGACAACUAGGUAAUUUCUUUUCUCCUAAGAUACAUUAGGAAGGACAUAAAAAGCUAGUGACCUUAUUCAUAGCAUCCUCAAGCCCAGCCUUGUCCCUAAGCACUUGCCCCAGUGUUGCCAGAGUGUUUAUCUUACUCUUCUGCUAUCACCACAGAAUGGAAAUUUUUGCAUAAUCCAAAUUUACCUUGUUUAAGCAGUAAAACUUUUUUUACUGUGCUCAUUUUCUGGGGUGGAGUUAUUUGAUAUGUGUGUCAGAGAACAUAUUGGAUACGGUGUUUCUCUUGUGCCUCCUGGCUUGUAGA